GCGCGAGUCAUCAACUCGCGU
rnacentral:rRNA from 1 species